AUGGGGUGGUGGGAGGGGGGACGAAAAAACCCAGACGAAAGUGAUGGGAGGAUGACGAAAAUAAAACGGAGGUGGCAGGAUGACGAAAAAAACCAGCGAAAAAAAACCGCGCAGACUAUUCACCAAGUCGUCCAUUAGAAGUAGAGAUGGAGCAGUUGGUAGUCUUCACCGAUCAAUUUUCGUCCCACCUUCCCUGGUUUUUUUGGGUACCUUCUCCCUCCUCUGACUUAUUCACCAGAAACCGAAAAAACCUCCUCCUGAGGCCCCAACCUGCAUCCAUCCAUAUAAAAAAAAUAGACCUACGAAGAUUAACCAACGAAAAAAGACCUAAGAAGGUUAACCCACGAAAAAAAACCACGGCAUGCACCAGCGAGCGAGCGAGCGAGGCCUCGACCUCGAGGGAACCACGCCAUCGCACUCGCAUUCCGCCGCCGCCGCUCCCUGCGCUACCUCGACGGAAGCCAUCGCAAAUCCAUCCCUUCGCCGCCGCCCUCGCGCUCGCAUCAAGGAUCGAGGCCUCCAGAGUAUCCUCGAUCCCCGCGUUACCCGUUCGCCGCAGCCGAUCCCGCCGCCGCGGGAGAGAUGAGCUGAUCUCCAUGGCCAGAUGAGGAAGGAAUACGGGUGACGGGAUGGAUUUGGAUCUCAAGUUGGGGAGGCCAACGUAGCCGCCCCUAGCGCGUCGAGCGAAAGCGAAGGAUUUGGAUCUCAUGGAUUUGGCUGCGUCGACCAGCAGAGGACCGCCGCCGGCUCGGCUCCUCCACCACGAAGCGACCUCCUUCCACCCCGUAGCCGCCGCCCGAAACCCUAGCAAUCGAGCCCCACCCAUGGUGCCCUAGGUCAGAUCCCCUUCCUUCUUCUUCCUCUGGUUUUCUUCAUUGUUCCUGUGAUACGUGAGUGAGUGAGUGAUGUGCAGGCGGCUUCUUCUUCCUCUGACCCCUGCGUGUCUCUCUCUUCACUUGUCUCUAGGUGGUACAACGGCCAGAGGAGAGGAAGUGGAGCAGCAAUCGCCUGGACGUGAGGUGAGCUUCCCCCAUCCAAUCUUAUCCACCCUCACCCCCGGGUGGCUCACAAUAUCUAUCACCUGCAGCAGCAUCUUGUGCAUGCAUCCAUUGAGGACGUGAGGUGCACACCACAUUUUGGUUCAGUUUUUCCCUUCUUUAUUAUAAUUAUGCCAAGGACAUCUUAUGCCUUACAGUAGUAUUCAAAUUCUCAAGUUUGUUUAUUUAUUUUUAGUGCAAUACUGCUCUCUUGUCUGCAGGAGAUUGGAGGAAAAAAUAUCAAAAAUCGGAGACAUGACGUUUUGGUUCAGUUCUGGAUCAUUUUCUUUUUUGGUUCAGUUUAUAUAAGUGGUUGUUGUUUUAUGUUGCUGCUAGCCAUCAGAAAACGAGUUCACAGUAGGUUUCCAUUUUGUGUUGCUCUGAACUGAAAAAAUAGAGGGGAUGUUGUUAUGCCUAGCGUGAAGUUCACAGUAGGUUUGGCAUCAAUUGAGCAAACUUUGUUACAGUUUUUAGUGGCUGUUGUAUGUAUUACAUUUUUGCUUUUUCUAAAACCACAUGUAUCCUAUAAUCUGAUUGCUUUUCUUUGUCUGAGCAACAGUGUCUGAGCUUUCCCUCCACUAUUUUUUCCUCUCUCUCUCUCUCUCUCUCUCUUUCUCUCUCUCACUCAAUCUCAACUUGGCAAGCGAUGGCGGCGGUGAAUGGGCAGCGCGGGCGUCGAGCAGGAUCAUGGGGGAGCAGGGGAGGCCAGAGGCUGCUCACCAUAUACAUCACCAUCCAUAGCCGCCCUCGUCCGCCAAGAAGCUGAGGAGGGAGGCUAACCUCCAGUGACCACUCUACACCGCUCUGGACGACACCCUCCCCACCAGAUUUAUUCACCUUAUUGGGACGGUGGGGUUAAUAUAUAUACAUCAAUUUUGAGCAUCGGCAACGCAUGAAGCUUGCUUCUGAGGCUGCAACAUGUUUUAUCAGCACAGGUUCAGAGAUAACUUUAAUGAGUAAACAAAUAAUUUUCAUGCAGGUCAGUUCUGAUGUGUGUUGAAUAGCUCAAUUUUGUUUUGAUCUGCUACGUUUAGUCAUUGUUUGCUCUAGCAUCAACACUAACUGUCACACGCACGCCGCCCCAUGGACGCCCCUGACUGAGGUGCGGGUCGGUGCUUGCCGUCGGUCCAUCCGCAUCGGCGCAGUGGCAUGUACCCCUUGAAAGCUUUGAAGCCUGAAAAAGCCGCAGGACCAGAUCUUCCCAUCAACCUGAAGAUGUGAAGUACGCUGCGUCUCCUGGUAUUUGUGUUGCUUCCGCUGGAUGACGCUCUAUUGUCGUUGUUGCCUCAGCCCUCCCAGUUGUCGUGUUCUUCCCUUCUCUUGCUGCUCGAUGAGGUUGGUAAUGCUGCUAGCUUUGCAUUCUAUGGAGUCUCUAUCUCUACCUAUGAUAAAUUCAGUAUCGUUCUACACACGUGUUUGUACCAAUCCAAGCCCUGGCUGAUGAUAUAGUUUUGACUUGUAAUGAUCUGACUAUGUAUUACCUUUUAUGUGAUGUAUGUAUGCCAGUAUACAUGAUUAAGUUCUAGGCAAAAGAGGGUGUCAUAUUUUAUCUCGGUGUGGAACAUCAUCUUUUAGUUGAAUCUAGAUGUUUAUUCAAUCUGAAUUUAGAAGUUUUAUUUAGCAUGUACUAGCUAGCUUGUGAUUUCCUAUGCUGCAAACUGUAACUAAUUUUCUUUAGCUGCUGGCUUUGAUACUAUAGAUGACUAGAGCACCUUGUGGUGACUUUGUUCUCUGGGCUGCUCGCGAUGUAGUUCUAGAGCAGCUUCAGCGGCAAGGUAAAAAUUCAAUUUCAGAGAGUGGGAUAACUCCCACUAUUUUCACUCAUUUUGAAUUGAUAGAUCCUAUAAUAGCAUGGAUAAUUGUGCAGAUGCCAUAGUUUCCUAAUUACUACGAUGAUUUGCUGGAUGAGGAGGUGGGUGUAACACCCCGAGGAUCAUGCUACACUAAAUGUCGUGGUUCUAAGCCUGACAGUAGAGUGGGGGGUAGGUAUGGAGAGGCAAGGUCCUAGCUAUGGAGAGGUUGUAAACACAAGGGAUGUACGAGUUCAGGCCCUUCUCGGAAGAAGUAACAGCCCUACGUCUCGGAGCCCGGAGGCGGUCGAGUGGAUUAUGAGUAUAUGAGUUACAAGGUGCCG
rnacentral:rRNA from 1 species